GUGUCAGAUGUGAAUAAGAGACAUGGGAGACAAUCGUUAAGAGUAUACAACAAUUUUCAAACUCCCGUCUUCAAUGGACUACCAAAAUCAGAAAGCCACUAUAAACCCCAAUGAAGUCUUCAUUUGAUGCUC